UACCGAGUGUGGAGCAAUGAUAGAUGGUUUGUUGGUAACAAAAAGUUUGGUGUGGUAUCGCAUAUAAUAGUAGGGGGGGGAGGGAGAGCAUGGCCGUAGGAAGCUCUUUUCGUUUGGGGGGGGGGCUAAAAGCGAGGGCCGAAGGCCCGAGGAAAUUUUUAAAUUUAGAGUCUCUGAAAUGCCAUUUCCUGGACUUUGGGGAAGAUUUGACAGAUUUCUGAUUGUCAGAAAACAGCGUUUUUAGUAUGUGGAAAUUUAGAAUUCAGUAGAACUAAAUGGACGAAGGUGUAUUUAAUUAACGAUAUAUUGGAUAAGUUGCAAGAAAGUAUGGGUAAUAUCUUCAUUCUUUGCAGUUUGUCAUGGAUUAAAUAAUAAAGGUCUGCAUGAUUUUGAAAAAUGGAUGACCCUACGACCCUGGAGAGGGUCUGGGGUUUUCUCCCCAGAAAAUUUUUGUAUUUUUCUACCCCUAUCACUGCAAUUCCCUGCAUUUUCUGAAAC